CCCUUAGAUGUCCUGGGCCGCACGCGCGCUACACUGGGUGUCUGAGAUACGAGUCUGCCUGGUCCGGCAAGGUCUAGGUAAUCGCUAAAAGACACAUCAUGCUUGGGAUAGAUUAUUGCAAAUAUUAAUCUUGAACGAGGAAUUCCUAGUAAGCGCAAGUCAACAGCUUGCGUUGAUUACGUCCCUGCCCUUUGUACACACCGCCCGUCGCUACUACUGAUUGGAUGUUUAAGCGAGGUUCUCGAACUGCUAGCGACUUAGCUUCGGUGAGGUCGCAGUGUGGGAAGUGAACCGAGCUUUGGUGUCUAGAGGAAGUAAAAGUCGUAACA
rnacentral:rRNA from 1 species